CGUAUAUUUAAGUUGUUGCAGUUAAAAAGCUCGUAGUUGGAUUUUGGUUAAGAGGGCGCGGUCGGCCGUUUGGUCUGUACUGCGUUGUCUUGACUUCCUGAUGAGGACAUGCUCUUGGUUAACGCUGAGACAUGGAGUCAUCGUGGUUACUUUGAAAAAAUUAGAGUGUUCAAAGCGGGCUUACGCUUGAAUAUAUUAGCAUGGAAUAACACUAUAGGACUCCUGUCCUAUCUCGUUGGUCUCGGGAUGGGAGUAAUGAUUAAGAGGAACAGUUGGGGGCAUUCGUAUUUCAUUGUCAGAGGUGAAAUUCUUGGAUUUAUGAAAGACGAACUUCCGCGAAAGCAUUUGCCAAGGAUGUUUUCAUUAAUCAAGAACGAAAGUUGGGGGCUCGAAGAUGAUUAGAUACCAUCCUAGUCUCAACCAUAAACGAUGCCGACCAGGGAUUGGUGGAUGUUAAUUGAUGACUUCACCAGCACCUUAUGAGAAAUCAAAGUUUUUGGGUUCCGGGGGGAGUAUGGUCGCAAGGCUGAAACUUAAAGGAAUUGAC
rnacentral:rRNA from 1 species